rnacentral:rRNA from 1 species
UACGUAGGGGGCAAGCGUUGUCCGGAAUCAUUGGGCGUAAAGCGCGUGUAGGCGGCCAGAAAAGUCCGCUGUGAAAACUCGAGGCUCAACUUCGAGCUGUCGGUGGAAACUUUCUGGCUAGAGUCCGGAAGAGGAGAAUGGAAUUCCUGGUGUAGCGGUGAAAUGCGCAGAUAUCAGGAAGAACACCCGUGGCGAAGGCGGUUCUCUGGGCCUUACCUGACGCUCAGGCACGAAAGCUAGGGGAGCGAACAGG